UUAAUAAAAACCAAAAUAGAGGUAUUUUGUUGUUAACAAAAAUAUUGAAUAACAAUUCUUAUUAAA
rnacentral:tRNA from 1 species